CUCGUCCCAUUGGACGGCCCGGCCCGCCCUCGCCCAAUGGGAAGGAGGGAUGCUUCCAGGAGGGGCGGAGCCCCGAGCGAGCGGCUCUGGGAGCUCGCCGGGAGAAGUCGAGAGCGAGGAGACAGGAGUGAGGUUGCCACAGCGCCCCCUUCAGGACUGGAGGAGAGGGGCGGCGGUGUCGGCCCGCUGUCCCUCCGGCGGGACUGCGUGGUCAAGGCCGGGGUCCUGCGACCACGACGCAGCGGCUGGCUGCGAAGCACUGGAGACACAGGCCUGGGGGCGGCAGGGUCCAGCUGACACCCCGCAGCCUAGCAAAGUCGCGGGGGUGGGGGACAGAAACGCAGGAGCGCCGCCAAAAAGUUUGUGCGAUGGGCAUCUAUGUCGGUUCGCUGGACCCCAAAGGAAGCACGGUCGCCUGUAGGGGGGCGGGGCGGCGCGCAAGCCGUGUCGGGGGACGCGGCUGUUCCGCGGGAGGGCCGGGACGCUAGGCCCCUUCCAGAUCUCAGCGGUACGCAGAGUGCGCGUGCUUAGGGCUGGGGGACCCGUGCCUGGGGAAGAAAUUUGAACUUGGCUCUCCAGGCAACAUGGCCUGGAAGGAAGGGUAUCUGGCUUUCAUCAAGCUUAUCUAGGUAUAUUCUACGUACACUAAAACACACCGGUUGUAAACGUACAGUCUGACGCAUCUCGACAAGCGCGUGUGUGUACCCAGUUGUCACUUACCAAUAUGCCCAAUACCGCAAUCAGGAUUUGAAGCAUUUCUUCAUCUCCAAACGGUCCCUUAUGCUCCUUUAUAUUUAAUCCCCCACGCCCACCCCUGCCCCCCACGAUCACCCAUCUGCUUUCUGCGACUCUAGAUUUCCUGUCCACUGCAUUUACGGGGCUCCGGCUGCUCACCGGGACAGAAGGGCAAUAGUGCAAACCCAAAGGCAGGGAGGCCCCUUACGCUGCUCGGGCCUAAUACAGGCAUAAGAGCCAUGGAUCUGGUUAGGGCACUAGCCUAGGACUGGAGAGGAGCAGACGGAUUAGGGAUGGACCUGGAGAGUCCCGUGGGGUACGCAGGAGAGAGUGGAGGGACACCCAGGCUGGGGGAGGUUGUGGUACCAGCACAGGGGAAAAAACGGAGCAGCCUCAGGGGGAGUCUGGGGAAGACUGAGCGGGUGGCGCCAUCUGUCUCCAUGGGAAACUCCAGCAGUGACCAGAAAUAGGAGUCAGCAGCAGAUAGGGCGUCGUGGAGCCUUCCUCCAGGGAGGACACAGCAGGAGAAAAGGAGACUAACACAGGCCCCAGGAAACAGCAACAUGAACAAGGGUGAGAGAAGAGAGAGGGAGCAGAGCCCACAGAAGAGGCAGAGGAGAGGUUAUCAGAGAGAUAACAGGAGGCCAGGAGGGUCUGCGAUGUGAGGGAGGAGCAGGUUCCGAGGAGGGACCAGUCAGUGAUCUCAGGGGGCAGAAGGAGGGCACAAGUACAAAGAACUGAAAUGAGUCAGUGGAUCGUAGUGGUUGGUGAGCUCGGCCAGAGGAGCCUCAGUUAGAUUGGGGUCUGGGUGGAAUUGACGGGAAGCAGCAGGAGGGGCGGAAAGGUGGAGGCAGCUGCUUCAUACUCUUCUUCAUAGAGCUCAGCCUUAAACAGAGGAGAUCAGAACAUGGGCCGAAGACAUUGGUGAAGGAAGAGUAUUCUUUUUCCUUUUUUUGUAGGCUCCAUGCCCAGUGUGAGCCCAACGAGGGGCUUGAACUCACGAGCCUGAGAUCGAGACCUGAGCUGAGAUCCAAAGUCAGAUGCUUACCCGACUGAGCCACCCAGGUGUCCCAAAAGAGAGCUAUUUUUUAAGAUGGAAAGAGUGUGUGUCUGUUUGUAACUUUCAGAGAAAGAAUCGUUAAGAGCUGGAGGGAUUAAAACCACAAAGAAAGAGGAGAGGAAGAUCUCAGGGAGAACAUGAAGGGGAGGGCCAGAGGCACAGAUGCAAACAGGAGGGGGCUCCUGGCUGCUUGGGGGUGGUGGGGAAGGAGGAAAAGGUGAGUGAUGUGUAAGUGAAGAUGUACGUAGGAGGGCAAGCGUGGAUUCGGAGCCUUGAGGAGAGGAUUUGGAAAAGCCGGAGAAAUGAGUAAGGAAACUCAAAGACAGCAUGUCAAGCAGACCUGAAGACCCAGUUGAAGUUGGAGAUCCUACUCCUGGAAGAGCCCUGAUCUGCACACUUUAGGGUCUGUUUCCAGUACCAUCCAGAAGCCUGGGUCUUGCAGUGCAAAAGACAGGUAGUAGGAAUUUGUAGGGUGCAUGAGGCAGAAGGACAAGGGGACAGAGAUGUUGAAGGUACUGGCGGGUGCGUGGUUGAAAGGAUAAAUCAUGGGAGCCAGGCUAGGUAGGUGGGUACUUAAUCGGGUCAGAAGAGAGAGGUUAAGGGAGCAGGUGUCGAGGACGUCGGAUGAGAUUUCAGAGGAGCUGUUGUUCCUGGUGAGGCUGACUUGUCCUCUCUUAAUGAACGUCACUUACGAGUCAGGCAGAGGAUGGGAUGAAAAAAGAAGACUAAGAGCCAGGGGCCCAGUUACUGAGAAUGGGGUGGAGGAGCCCCUGAAAACAGCAGUGAGGGGCCGAGAGGGCAGAGUCGGGACGAGUGACCCUCUGGGAGGAGGGGUUUUUGCCCGAAGGUGAAGACAGUAGGACUUGAGACAGUGCCACCCUUGCCCUCUGUCACAAUGAGGAACAUCCCGUAUGUCAGGUGCCUACCGGGGCAAGUGCAAGGCCGACCCCGUCCCUGCCUCCUAGAGACCACGGCUUCGAGAGCAGGGAUUUCCCUGAGCUUGGCCCAGCUCCAGCCCCUGAAGACAGACAAACCAGGAUGAGCAAGAAGUUAGGGGCCCUGCCCUGGAAACUUCUGGCGUCCCCAGCUAUGCUCGAUGCAUUCUCUGAAGCAGGUUAUUUUUCUAGCUGUAGAGCAAUGGCUUCAGAAAGGCUACCCUUUAUAAAUUGCACUUGGCUUCAUUUUCACACUCACACGUACCUCUAUUUGGGCGUUAAAACGAGCCCGACAGGGUGGGCCUCAAGCCCUUAUCACAAUUCUGAAAAUCGGAAAAGCUCAGAAAAACAAAAGCAUCUUAGUAACUCCAUUGGUAGCAAACUUGACCUGACCUCUUGGAGGGUGGUUUGGAGCCUUUAUUUGUCCCACUCGGCGUGUUUGAGGACAGGGUGGAGCCCAGUGGCUUCACGUGGCAUAUGGCAGGUGCGCCAUCCUCCCUCUGUGGAAUCCAACAAGCUGUGAAUUCCCAAACACACGUGGCCGCAAGGAUUCUGGGCAAGGGAUUAUGGAUCUGUGCAACUCUCCUUUCUAGGUGAUAAAGACUCCAGGUCUGAGGGGCGCCUGGUCAGCUUAGCCGGUUGAGCUUGCGACUCUUGCUCUGGGGGCUGGGUGUAGAGAACUUAAAAAAUAAAGUCUUUUAAAAAAGAGAGAGCGAGAGAAAGAAACCAAGUCUGAGAAUAAAUUAUACCCCACGGGUUGGCACAGGACUUUGCUCUCAUUGGCCAGCAAGUGGCAAGCCAGCAGGUGUGUUAAUCACAACAGGAAGUGGUAUGAUUAAUUUUGGUUUUUAGAAAUUGCAACUGGUAGCAAUAGCAGAGCUGGGUUGGUGGAGCCAAGCCUGGGUGCCCAGUCGAAACCAAAAGCCUUUGUCCUUUGGCCUGUGCCAGUGACCUCCUUGAUUGCUCUCCUGUCCUCGGGGUCUCCCCCCAUCCCCCAUCGAUCCCAUCGGCAGCGGAGAUCCGGCCACCCUGCAGCCUGAGCUGGUCCCCACUAACCUCCAUGUCGCCCUUCCCGCAGACGACUCUCAAGCCUUUCUUGCCUACUCAGCUGCACUCCAGGCCACUGGCCACCCAUCGUCCUGAAAACUUUACAGGCCCCUGGCUUUUCUGACCUCAUUGCCCCUUGCCCUCCUUCUCCCCAUGGGGCUCUGUGCUGGCCCCCAGGGCCCCCAGUUCCUCCAGCAGCGGUCCCGAGGUACCAGGCUUCGCGCUCACCUCCCACCAUAGUUAACCCCGGGGCCAUGCUGCGCCACUCCCGGAUUUCUGCUCAGGGCCGCCCUCCUCCCUGAGCCUGAUUCCUGUAUCCAAAUGCCUGCCAGGCCCUGGGCUAACCCCAGUUCCAUUUGGAGAGAUGAACCUAACUUCUCGGCAAACUGACGCAACGUAUAAGCGAUAUGCGUGAUGCCUUCUUUUUCGUUUAUUUUACCGUUGCUGUUGGCAAAUUAAGCCACUCCUAUCCUGUUGCCAGGAAUUGAGUCCCUGGGCGUUACAGGCAGUCAUUGGGCUGGACAAAGUACUUACAAGCUAGUGGGGUCAGGGCGGAAAUAAUCAGGCAAAUUCACGAAUCCCUGUAAUAGAAGAGAGGAAGAGUGUCCCGGAAGGAGGGAGCAGUCUGACCCCCAGGACCUGGCGGUACCUGUGUGCUUUCCCUGCCCUUGAUCUUUCCCCAAAGGAGAGGGUUCAUCAUCACAGUAACAGUCCGCAGUACGGCCGGCUUGCCAGCGACUCUGGGUCGCCUUGGUUUUCAGGCAGUGUUCACGGGACCCGCGACGUGCCGGGACUCCAAGCAUCCGCUGUUCUGCGUACCUUCCUGGGUGACACGGAGUCACAGCAAAGCAGUCAGGCGGAGACAGUGAUCGUGGGGAGAGGAGCCCACCGAGAAACCGGUUGGGCUGGGAGCUGUGUCCGGAACGGGGCAGGAAGGAGCUGUGAAGGCGGUUGCAUCGCCCCGUGUCCAGUGGGGGGCAGUGGUGUGCCGACAGUCGCGGGGAGCCGUCCCUGCAGGAAGGGGACCCGGGGAGCCAGCCUCCCAGCAUCGUCGCUUCGGGUGCCUUUGGUUACAUGUUGCUCAGUCAACACUUCCUUUCGGGAGACAGCCCGGGCGCCUAAGUGUUCGCCAGGAACUUCCCACCCAGUGGAAUUGAUUAAGGAGGCUCCACGCCCAGUGUGGGGCUCGAACUCGCUACCCUGAGAUCCAGAGUAGCUCGCUCUUCUGACUGAGCCGGCCAGGUGCCCCUCGGCAGGCAGCAGUGACUGUGGCCGGGAGGGAAACACACAGAAGGAAGUUGUUCUCCAGGACCAAGGCUGAGUCGUCCCUGUCGGCCUGCCAUCCUGUCCCAUCUUGCCUGGCGUGUCUGGCUGGCUGGGACCUGCUCGCCCGCACCCCACGCUGCCCCCCAGCACAGCCAUGUCGCUUUCCCCGCCCUGCAGGUCUGUGCCCACCCAUGUCCUGGCUGAGCCUGGGACCAGACGGCUUCGCGCUCCGGAUUCCAGGGUCCUCUGUAGCUGGGCUUACCCCCCUCUGGCUCCUCCAAGAAGAGCUUCGGCGGGGUCUGUGGCAGAGGCCUUCAGGGAAGGCUUUAGUUUCUGGGCCAAGCUGACUCAUCAUUUCCCCCAGAGAAGUUUGCUCUCUGGGCGGUUUCCAGGCCCCCGUCCCUCCAGACCAGAUGGCUCAGAUGAGGUCUCCAUGUGCACCUUGCGGCCCUUUGUGGGCACAUGUUCUGGAUUUGUCCCAACCUGAGCCUCUGAUUCACCAGGACGUUCUGGGAAGUCCUCAGCACUUGAGUCCACCUUGGCCCGUCAGCAUAGAAGCUGCGAGUCACAUUUCCAGCUUUUGCGGGGAGCCCAUUGAUUCUAGGCCCAGACACAGAAGUGUGUGGUCCCGGGGACUGAAGUUGGACCUCGGGCUGGGGCUCCAGCAGCUGGUACUGCCUUUAGAGGGGCUGGUCACUCAGACUCCAUCAGAGGAGGGACCGUUUUGCGUUUUUUUUUUUUUUUUAAGAUUUGUUUAUUUUGGAGAGCGAGAGCACGAGCAGGAGGGGCAGAAGGAGAGGGAGGGACAAUCCCAAGCAGACUCCGCGCUCAGCGUGGAGCCCAGUGUGGGGCUCGAUCUCACGACCCCAAGAUCACGACCUGAGCUGAAACCAAGAGUCAGACGUUUAAUCCGACUGCGCCACCCAGGUGCCCCAGAGGAUGGACUGUUUUGCGGCUGUUUAGGGUCUUGGGAAAAGCAGAGGAAGGAGCUCCUGCCCAGGUAGACCUGGAAAGUGUCAGCUCAGUGGACAGCCUUCUGUGGCCUCCCCCCUUCCCAGCUGUCUGGUGCUUCCUCAGUAGAGAGUUGGUGAGCACAUACUGGGUGCUGGACGCAGGACCUUCGAGGGAACCCCUGACCGGUGUCUGAGGUGGGGGGGCAUUCAGGACCACAGCGCCCACCCAACGGACCUGGGAGCCGGACGGCCCCUGUGCCCUUUGGGGAAAUCACUCGGCCCCCACAGGCAUCCGAUUCCUCCUGCACAGAAUGAGAACAGGCUACCUUCCUCCAUACUUUGUGAGGACUGGGCUGGCGAACUGAUCCGAAUUGCCCAGAACUGGGCCGGGGGCAGUGAGGCGGUGCCCAGUUGAGAGGUUUAGGAGGACGGAUGGGAUGAAGGGCUCGAGAGGCGUCCUGGGGUCCUGGGGCUGGACGUGCGCGGCCAGGAGCGCUGCGUCUGAGGCUGGGGUCCCCUCCUGUGCAUAUUUAACCUUGAACAGUUAGGCCUUGGCUGCUUCCUUUGUCAAGUGGGGAUCAGACUUUCCCUUCCAGCCUUAUCCGGAGAAAGCAACACUUGCAUCUACUGUGUUCCAGGCACAGUUGUAGUCUAAGGAUUGAGAAAGAACAUAUGUAAAAAGUGUUUCUAUUAAAAUAAUCACCUUGGGGCGCCUGGGUGGCUCAGUCGGUUGGGCGUCUGCCCUCGGCUCAGGUCAUGAUCUCAGGGUCCUGGGAUCGAGCCCUGCCAUCGGGCUCCCUGCUCGGCGGGAAGCCUGCUUCUCCCUCUCCCACUCCCCCUGCUUGUGUUCCUCUCUCGCUGUGUCUCUGUCUGUCAAAUACAUGAAAUCUUUAAAAAAAUAAUCACCUUGUCACCUGCGCAGUGCAACCCCUGGGUGACUGUGACUCUCUGCUCUGCCCCGCGCCCCUGGCCGCGGCCAGCGGAAUGGGGGUGACAGAGGCAGGCACUCUGGUCUGGCUUCAGGCUUGCAGGUACCCCUGGGGUGCUGCUCUGCCCCUUGAGGAUUCACCGCGUUUCCACGCUAUUUAGGUCCGGAUUACUAAAACCUCUUGCCCCCAUGGGAGGCUGGUGAUGUCCUCAGAGGAGGGCCUGGGAGCCCCAAGGAGCACGGAAAGCCUCGCUGAGGCUCUUAGGGGAGGGGACGCAGGAACGAGGUGCUCCGAGGGGUUGAGCGAACAGUCCCCAGAGCACCCUCCAGCCCAGCCCCUCAGUGCAGGUCCCCCUGCACACAGCCGGCUUGUAGGGGGGUGGGGGAGGAGGGUUCACACAGGGCGGGGUGGCCCAAGCGUCAGCUGGUUGCUUGCUCACCCUCGCGGGCUGCCCUCACACAUCCCGGAGAAGCUUCUGGGCACCGUCUGAGGCUUGCCACCGAGAUUCCAGGCCAGCCGUCCUGGCAACAGUGUGCGGGAGGAGUAAGUCUGCCGCAGAGCCUGUUUGGGAGCCGGGCCGAUGCUAACGGGAUUACCAACCGCCACCCCGAGGUCGGGCAGGACGUUGUGAAAUGACAUUUCAAGGGCCCCACCGCAGAGGUAGGCUCAACGCCCAAUGUGGGGCUUGAACCCACGGCCUUGAGAUGGAGUCACGCCCUACUGACAGAGGCAACCAGGCGCCGGAGGCAGGCAGACGUUGAGAGGAGAGUUCGAGCACGUUCCCUCCCAGAAGCAGCACCGUGUGUCCUGCCACAUUUUGCGAACUAGUAGAGGGCAGAGACCAAAGGAACAUGGAGCGUGAUGUUCUCUGCAUGAAGAGCAAUGAAGAGCAGACACAAGCCCUGAGAGCAGAAACUGUGGACCAGAAGUUUCUACGGAGGCAGCGGCUGACCCAUGGCGCCGAGACAAUGCGCGGAUGCUCAGGAGCCGGCCCCAGCCUCUCGCCCCGAGGAGGAGGAGGAGGACGGCUGGGUUAUCAGACGCUCGGCUCCAGACCUGUGUUGUGACAACAGGAGUCUCCUGACUGCUCAGGAAUUCACUGUUGAUCCUUUUGUCCUCCCUGAUCCGCUUCCCACCUGCUUCUGCAUCUCUACCCACAAGGAGUCAGGCGGCCCGGGCUCUCCCAUUGUCUCCUGCCACCGCCUUGGCUCGGACCGCUCCUCGGUGAGGAGGGGACCCCAGCGUAGGUCCUGUCCCUUCCCUGUCACCUUAUUCCUUCCUUGCCCAUUCUGUCCGAGUGCCUUGGGCAGCAACCCCCCCAGCAGCCCGGCUGGUCCCCGGGGCUGGAUGCCACGUGCUACUCCAUAAAUGAUUAGCUGUGAUCAUUGUAAAAGCAAGGAGCUCUGUAAGCAGAAACACAGAGCAGAGAGGGGUCUGAACACACACAGACACACACACACACACACACACACAGGAUGAGUUUUCUCAGCGAUUCAUUAUGUGAUUUUCUCCUGGUGGGAGCUUUUGCAGUCACGCAGGGUGGUGGCCGGGGCGGUGGCCGGCUCGGUCCCUAGAUGCCUGCUUGAGCAAGGGGCUGGCGGUAGAGGACUUCUCCUGCUUACGGAAGCGGCAAGGGAACUGUGGGUUCCUUCCCAGGAGCUGGUGUGAGUGCAGUGGGGGCAAUGAGUGGCUCCAGCCUUGCGCGCCCUCCCCGGCGGCCCACCCAGCACGCCCGGUGAAUGCGGGUCAGGGAGUACUAUUUUGAGUGCUCGGAGAGGGACAGGAGGCUGCAGGAGACACCAGCCUGCGCGUGGGGGGCCGAGGGGACAAAGCACCAUCAAGGCUGCUCACUGACCCCUGCACUCGCUGCAUCCCUCCAGGGCUCUCUGUCUCUGCCAAGAGGAAGCUGCCAAGACAAAGAGGUGCCCAUGGAGCCAACUUCUAUUUCCAGCCUGGGAGUGACCCUGGCGGGCAGCCUUGAGCAGGUCACAAGCCCUCCCAGGGUAAUCACAUCGGAUUCCAUCCUAGGUCCAGGAACUCCUGUGAAAAUGGAUAAAUUGAGAUUUUAAAGGGCCCUGAGAUCUCAGAAGAGAUAAAUGAACAAUGUUUGGGGCCAAUGUUCUGGGCUGCCCUUGAAGUCUGGCCCUCCACGCACCGGCCAUGUUCCCUCCUGACUCAAAGUGUAGAAUACACUUAAGCCCAGUGAUGGGGGCACCUGGGGGGCUCAGUCGGUUAGGAGUCUGCCUUCGGCUCAGGUCAUGAUCCGGAGGUCCUGGGAUUGAGUCCUGCGCCGGGCUCCCUGCUCGGCGGGGAGUCUGCCUCUCCAUCUCCCUCUGUGCUCCUCCCCCACCCCAUACUUGUGAGCUCUCUCUCUCGAAUAAAUAAAGAAGAUCUUUAAAAAAAAAAAAAAAAGAUUAGUCAUGAAAAUAGCUAACAUUGAUUAAAUAUUGACUACGUGCUGGGCACUUUAGUUUAAUACUCAGGCAACCUUAAUGAGAGACAGUGGAAGAAACGGAAGUCCAGAGAGGUUAAGUAACUUUCCUGUGGUCACAGAGUCAAGAAGCCACGGCCAAUAUCUGAACUCUGGCUUCCUGAGCCCAGGGUCAGCCCUUAUCCACGACAUCGGAGCGUAUUUACCGGGCAACCUGUCGUUAGUGAGCACUUGCUGUAUGCCAUGCUGAGCUGGGUGUGAGAUUCAGAGCUGUAUAAAUAGGAGGCAGGCAAAGGCUGGGUUCCAAACUGGGGAUAUCGAGGGGCUCCCGGCCAGCUCCGUCGGUGGAGCGUGCGACUCUUGGUCUCGGGGUCCUGAGCUCAAGCCCCACUUUGGGCACAGGGCUUACUUAAAAAACCAGAGACAGAGCAGAGAGAAGAAAAUGAAGAGGAGGGGGAAAACGCACCCUUGAAAUGACAGCAAUUAUUGGCAAUUUGCAACUGAUUACUUCGUUGUUAAUUGCUACUUGUCAAUCAGUACUCUUUG